rnacentral:misc_RNA from 1 species
AAAUUACAAGAGGUUAAGAAUCAUUUCCAAGAAAGCACAAGACUAAAAGUAACUUUUAUUUCCAAAACACAACACUGCCAUCAGUAGUUAACAUAUCAUCAUAUAAACUAUGCAUGAGAGAUAUAAAGCUAUGAUAACCAUCACAUCCCAAAUGCGAUGAACUAAGAAUUUGCUGGUGUAAACUUGAGGGAAACACUAUUGACACAAUGGCGUUCAUCCGUUGGGGUAGGGAAACCCUCACCCUUGAAAACAUGACCAAGAUGACCGCCACAAGCUGCACAAGUAAUCUCAACCCUCCUGCCAUCAGGGUCAGGAGUGCGAUUAAUUGCUCCAGGAAGACCCUCAAAGAAAGCUGGCCAACCACAGCCUGAGUUGAAUUUUGCUGUGGACUUGUAGAGAGGAGUGCUACAUCCUGCACAUUGGUAGACUCCUUCACCAGAAAACUUGUCAUACUCUCCGGUACCUGGAUACUCAGUGCCUUUCUGUCUUAGAAUACGGAACUGCUCAGGAGAUAGAAUUGCACGCCAGUCUUCCUCUGACUUGUGAACGGAGUCUGGUGCAGCCAUAGCAACAACCCCACCUCUGAACCCUCUCUUACUUGAUGAUGAUGAUGAUGAUGAAAACCUGAAUUGGGUCUUGGGAUGACCACAAAUGCUAACAACCUUUUUGGCUUGAAAUCUCAAGAAUGGGGUGGCGUUGAUAAACAGAGGGGUUGACGAAGCAAAAGGUGAGAUUUUGAGAAUAUGAG